rnacentral:rRNA from 1 species
UACGAGGGGUCCAAGCGUUGUUCGGAAUCAUUGGGCGUAAAGCGGGUGUAGGCGGCUCUAUAAGUCAGAAGUGAAAGCCCCGGGCUUAACCUGGGAAGUGCUUUUGAUACUGGAGAGCUUGAAUGUGGGAGAGGGUAGUGGAAUUCCAGGUGUAGUGGUGAAAUACGUAGAUAUCUGGAGGAACACCGGUGGCGAAGGCGGCUGCCUGGGUAGAUACUGACGCUGAGGUGCGAAAGCGUGGGGAGCAAACAGG